GGAUUCUAGACUCUAUUGACUUUAACCAACGAAGUAGAGAUGCCUGAAAGUUUCCAACAGAUUGAAACUGAGAAGCACUAGACCAGAAAUCUAGUAGAUUCUGUGGGUCAAGAAUUCAGUCAAGGCACACUCCAAGGGACUGGACACCGAAAUGUUUCAGACUAUAAGAAGGCUGAGCUGAAGACUAGAAUUAGCUGAGGGCUGGCUCACUCACUUUUCUGGCAAUUGAUGUUCGCUGUUGUCCAAGGUCCACCUGGGGCCUCUCCAGUAGCCUGAACUUUACAAAUGAAGAUGGAUAACUUUCAUGACAUAUGCAUCUCUCAAGCAGACUGAAAAGAAAUUAUGUUUAAUAUUUACAUUUAAUGAAAUCAUAAUACACUGCUAAUCAAAUUGUUACCUUUUAAAUGGCUGGAUGGAAAAUCAGGGCUAAAACACUUGGAAGGAAAAGAAAAUAACUUCUAUAAUAUUUGUGACACAGACCUUAAAUUAGCAAAUUAAAGAACUCAUUGCAAUAAUA